rnacentral:rRNA from 1 species
GGAGGGUGUGAGCGUUAUUCGGAAUUAUUGGGCGUAAAGAGCGCGUAGGCGGUCUUUUAAGUCAGAUGUGAAAGCCCGAGGCUUAACCUCGGAAGUGCAUUUGAAACUAAGAGACUUGAGUAUGGGAGAGGGAAGUGGAAUUCCUGGUGUAGAGGUGAAAUUCGUAGAUAUCAGGAGGAACACCGGUGGCGAAGGCGACUUCCUGGACCAAUACUGACGCUGAGGCGCGAAGGCGUGGGUAGCAAACAGGAUUAGAUACCCUGGUAGUCCACGCAGUAAACGGUGAACACUAGGUGUAGCGGGUAUUGACCCCCUGCUGUGCCCGAAGCUAACGCAUUAAGUGUUCCGCCUGGGGGAGUACGACCGCAAGGUUA